GACGAACGCUGGCGGCGUGCCUAAUACAUGCAAGUAGAACGCAGUCGCGAACGGGUGAGUAACGCGUAGGUAACUGCCUCAUAGCGGGGGAGAACUAUUGGAAACGCUAGCUAAUACCGCAUACUGCGAGAUGAACCGGUGUUGUAUUAGCUAGUUGGUUAGGUAAAGGUCCACCAAGGCGACGAUACAUAGCCGACCUGCGUGGGGGAUCGGCCACACUGGGACUGAGACACGGCCCCGACUCCUACGGGAGGCAGCAGUAGGGAAUCUUCGGCAAUGGACGGAAGUCUGACCGAGCAACGCCGCGUGAGUGAAGAAGGUUUUCGGAUCGUAAAGCUCUGUUGUUAGAGAAGCGGUACCUAACCAGAAAGGGACGGCUAACUACGUGCCAGCAGCCGCGGUAAUUC
rnacentral:rRNA from 1 species